rnacentral:lncRNA from 1 species
AUUUGUUCAGAUCUCCACAGUCUUUGUCGCUGUAUUUUGUUAGAAAGAAAGGCGAGGCUGUUUCUACAGGUGCCACAGAAAAAUCGAUGCCGAGUCACGGAUUAUUGGAUCCCACAGAACCAUGGAGACUUGGCGGUGAAAUUCUUCUAAAGUUUCUUCUGGCUAUCAGAGAGUUGAAAGGGGAAAAAAAAAUAAAGAGCCAAAGCUGUUUCAACUUCUUGGUUGUUUUACUCCAUGGCUUAGCAUUCCAUCUGCGCAGGCAGAGGUGUUCCUGGUUUGGGAAGUAUAAAUCCCGCGGGAAGUCAACUGGAGAACAUUUUACGCGUCCGUCACUCAUCCUAUUAUGAGCCUGCUGCUCUUCCUUCUCUGGACAAGGCCACCGACUAGAAGAGCACAGAAUUAUUAAAAAGAAAAC